UACGUAGGGGGCAAGCGUUGUCCGGAAUCAUUGGGCGUAAAGAGCGCGUAGGCGGUCCGGUAAGUCGGUUGUGAAAGUCGGGGGCUCAACCCUCGGAUGCCGAUCGAUACUGUCGGGCUAGAGUCCGGAAGAGGCGAGUGGAAUUCCUGGUGUAGCGGUGGAAUGCGCAGAUAUCAGGAGGAACACCAAUAGCGAAGGCAGCUCGCUGGGACGGUACUGACGCUAAGGCGCGAAAGCGUGGGGAGCGAACGAGG
rnacentral:rRNA from 1 species